rnacentral:lncRNA from 1 species
CAGAUGUUCAUGUUCAGAGGCAUUUUUGAUGUUUCAUUUUCAGUGGUGAUAGCUAAGUUGUCUGAAUGUUCCAUAAAAGAGAAUGCUUUUGGUUAAUUCUAGAGGGGUGGCAAAACUUCACUAGGCAGAGGGAGUGAAGAAUCGAUUCCUGUGGGAAUGGGGAUGGAACAUCAGCAACUGCAGAAGCCCUGGGGUUAGUGCAGGGGCCAUAAAAGAGUGAUUCUUUGAGGGAACAGCAAGCUCCAACACCCUGAAAGAGGUCAGCUGGUGCCAUAGGGGAGAACACAGAGGCAGCCAACAUCUUCUGAAGGUCGAAUGGAAAGAGUGGCAACUUUAUCUUCAAAAGCCCAC